GUCUGCUGUCAAGGGUCGGAGCUUAACUCCGGAGAGGCAGUGGAAACUGAGGCGCUACAGUGCGGCAGGGGUAGAGGGAAUUCCCGGUGUAGCGGUGAAAUGCGUAGAGAUCGGGAAGAACAUCGGUGGCGAAAGCGCUCUACUGGGCCGCGCCUGACCCUCAGGGACGAAAGCUAGGGGAGCGAAUGGGAUUAGAUACCCCUGUAGUCCUAGCCGUAAACGAUGGAUACUAGGUGUGGCCCGUAUCGACCCGAGCUGUGCCGAAGCUAACGCGUUAAGUCUCCCGCCUGGGGAGUACGCACGCAAGUGUGAAACUCAAAGGAAUUGACGGGGGCCCGCACAAGCGGUGGAGGAUGUGGUUUAAUUCGAUGCAACGCGAAGAACCUUACCAGGGCUUGACAUGUCCCGAAUCCUGGGGAAACCUGGGAGUGCCUAAUGGAGCCGGAACACACGUGGUGCAGGGCUGUCGUCAGCUCGUGUCGCGAGAUGUUGGGUUAAGUCCCGCAACGAGCGCACCCCUCGGUCUUAGUUGCCAGUCGUAGGUGGGGCGCUCUAGAGAGACUGCCGGUGACAAACCGGAGGAAGGCGGGGAUGACGUCAAGUCAGCAUGCCCCUUACGUCCUGUGCGACCUGGUACUACUAUGGUGAGGACUAAGGGCAGCUAACUCGCGAGAGCUCGCUGAUCGCACUCACCUCGGCUCAGUUGACAGUGCAGGCUGCAUCUCGACUGCAUGAACGACGAAUCGCUAGUAAUCUCGCGUACUGAUACGGCGGUGAAUUCUUUCCUGGGUCUUGUACUCCCCGCCGUCAUACCAUGCAAGCUGCCCCCGCCCGACUCUCUACGCUACCCUUCGGGAAGGGGGAUGCCAAAGGAUAGCUGGUGAAUGAGGUGAAAUCUAA
rnacentral:rRNA from 1 species